UCCACUCUCUUAGUGACACCCAUUGCUCAUGUUGGCAGAAUCUUCAAGAACAAUGACAAACAUCAUUCUCAUCUGGGCCGUUUUAUUCUUUGUGGAAGAAUCUAUGGGGCAGAUUACUGUAACUCAGAGCCCCUCAGCAAGUGUUCAUCUGGGAGAAUCAGUCACUCUGACCUGUAAAACCAGCUCUCGCAUUAUCGCUAUGGCACUAUCCUGGUACCAGCAGAAAGAUGGAGAAGCUCCUAAUCUUUUAGUUUAUCAGGUGAAUGAUCUCCAGUCUGGGAUUCCACCACGAUUUGCUGGAAGUGGUUCACGGGCAGGAUCGGACUUCAGUCUGACCAUCAGUGGUGUCCAGGCUGAAGAUGCAGGAGAUUAUUACUGUAUGAGUUGGCACGAAGUCAGUAGUGCCUAUACUUUUGGUGGCGGCACCAGAUUGGAUGUUGGCACAAACACCCAACCCACGCUGACAGUCCUGCCUCCCUCCAGUGAGGAGCUGAGCAGUAAGAGCUCUGCCACACUGGUGUGCCUGGCUGCCAAGGGCUUCCCCUCAGACUGGAGCCUGAGCUGGAAGGUGGAUGGGACCAGUAAGAGUGGAGUGGCCAGUCGUGGGGUCAUGAAGGAUGGUCUGUACAGCUGGAGCAGCACCCUGACACUCAGUGAUGGCCAGUGGAAAGGAGCCACUUCAGUGGUCUGUGAGGCCACCCAGGGAUCUCAGAGAGCGGUCACUAAAGCCCUGAGCAAAGCCGACUGCUCUCAGUAGGAUCUAGUCUCUGCUCCGAUGAGUCGACUGCUCUCAGUAGGAUCUAGUCUCUGCUCCGAUGAGUCGACUGCUCUCAGUAGGAUCUAGUCUCUGCUCCGAUGAGUCGACUGCUCUCAGUAGGAUCUAGUCUCUGCUCCGAUGAGUCGACUGCUCUCAGUAGGAUCUAGUCUCUGCUCCGAUGAGUCGACUGCUCUCUUCUCUGAAUGUCUGACUUACAUCUUCAUCAGCCGGCUAAAAUGCGUACUGUAUUGCAGCUUUAGUGUGAAAUGAUAAAAAUGUGUUUAUGAAUGCUCUGAUGCUUCAAUGCUGUUACUGAGAUUAGAAUAAUAAAACUUCAUGUUUUACA